CACAAAGUCCCAGCAAUCGUCCAAUGCCCUUUCUGCAAGCAGGUUGUCAGGACAAAAACAUAUCGCAAAAUUGGAGGGGCCGCCUGGAUUAUUUGCUUUGUUUCCGGGAUGUUAGGAUGCGUAGCUGGAUGCUGUCUCUUACCCUUCUUUUUGGACAACCUGAAGGACGUCUGCCAUUCCUGCCCUGAAUGUCACAACAAAAUCUAUACUUUAGAACGAAUGUGAGGACUGGAUGGGAUAACUACAGCCCUUACACACUGUAGAACUCCCUGCAGCUUCUUUGGUGUUCUGGAUGGGGACAGUUAAUGGGCUGGUUGGUGUCUGUGACACCAUUUUGGAUCUCUCCAAAAGUGCUGAUAGAAAGAAUCCAAGGAGAGUCCGACCAAAAUGGACUGGAAAGACACUUAUACUGAAUGAAGAUGUCAUUCUUUUUACUUUCCCUGCUUCAUUAUCUUUAUAUCAUAGUGGUUGUAGGAGACACCACUUUGAACUCCCUAGGGAUGGUAUAAAGUCCCAUUCAAAUGUGGAAGGGAAAGCAGGUGAUUUAAUGUCAACCUGAAUAUUAUGAAAAUUAUGAAUAGACGGCACAUGCAAAUGUUUAACUGCAUGCAAUAAGGACAUGUAAAGUUCACUUCCCCAUUUCUUUCCAGGGUCAAAAGACUUAACACAAGUGAAUAAACCUAGCAAACGUGUGAAGAAAAAAUAAUGGACAAUUGUCUGAGGUCAGGCAAGAUUGUAGCUAAGCAUGGACAAGCUCAAGGCUACAAAUCAAUUUCCAGAGACCUCAACGUUCCUUUUUUUACCACGUUAUCUUUUCAAGACGUUUAAGGUCCAAGCCACUGUAGCAAACAUCUUUACAUGUGGACAUAAGAAAACUAGAUUGCAGCAACAGUUUGAACACAAUCAAGUGACACACUGAAUAUAGCCAACAUUCAGACAUAAGGUACAAUAAAUUGAACUGGCACUAUUCAUAUGGGUCUACCAACAGGACAAUGACCCCAAACACACUUAAGAAAAACACACCCAAGAACGGUUCAAGACAAAACUCUGGACUGUUCUGAAGUGGCCGGCAACGAGUCCAGAUCCAAAUCCUUAACAGAACCUGUGGAGAGAUCUGAAAACCGCAAUUUGGAGACACAUUUCAAACUUGGGACAACUGGAGCAGUUCGCACAGUUCUCCACACUGCCAGUGCAUAGGUGCCGGAAGCUCAUCCAUGGCUAUAGGACACACUUGAUGGCAGUUAUUUUGGCCAAUAACUUUUGUCAAGCCUUUGUUUAUUUUCUACUUAAAAAUACAUUAGGUAGUAUUAACAGCUAGAGCAAAUACCUG
ensembl:lncRNA